UUUAUUGCUAUGGCCUUAUCAUUUUAUCCUUGCUUUUAAAAAAAAAAAAAAAAUUAAACUUGCUCUAUGAACCAACUUUUAUUAGUAAAGGAAUCAAAUGUCAAACAAGAAUAAAAGUGGCUCAAAAAUAAAAACUGCAAAUAAAAAAACAUGUGUUACCGAGGUUUAAAAUAAACCGGUCCAAAUUACUUUUGAAAACAAAUAAAUAGACGUCUAGGCUUGUUUGGAGUUCUAGAAUUUCCCAGAUAGACAUCUUCUCUUCAUCUUCAAUCCUAUCUCAUCUCAUCACCGAUGGUGUGUAAAUGAUGGUGCACCGCUUCUUUGGUGGUGUUUCAUAGCUCCAACGUGGUAAGCCCCAUGACGCCUUCGGUAUCUUCUUGACACUCGAGAUCUACUUCUCCAACCACCACCCGAGUAAGUAUCUUCUAGAUCUCUAUUUUUGUGCCUUAAUGACGCUUUCAGGGAUAGAUGCUCAUCGAUCUCUUGUUUUUCAUUUCUGUCAAAUGUUAUCUAUAUAGCACAUCUUCAAGAUCUGAUUCUCCAACUGUCUUUUUUUUUCCUUUUUUGCAGUUGCUUUGUAGAUCUUAUCAGCUGUGAUCCUUGUUAAACUCGAUUUACUACUUUCUCCAUUCCUUUUGACUUGUUCAGAAUUUACUUUCAAGGACUGUGAGAAGCCAGUGAGAUUUAUUAUCUAUAGAGUGGAGAGUAGGUGAAUUUCGCGAAAAAUGUGAUUGAUGUGCUAAUAUCAACUUUCGUGAGUGGCAAGUCCAUGCUUGAGUUAGAAAUAGAAAGUUUUAAUUAAUUUUUAUUUUUUAUUGCAUGUUAGAAAGUGAUUUGGACAUUGGAACAGAGCAGUCUACCUUUUGGAUAAAUCUCAACAAUAAGUGUUUUUUUCCUAAAAUAUUCAUUGAGAGUUCUGAAAAUUUUGAUAAAAAUUAGAAAAAUGUUGAUGAAAAAAAUUCUCAAGGUUGAAUUUGAGAUAAGAAUCAUUGAGAAGAACUCAAGAGUUAGCAAAAAAAAAAAAAAAAAAGGAAAAGACAUAGUUGGAAAGAAAAUUUAAUUGAAUUGAAAAUGAAAAAGAAAAAUAAAACGUGGGGAGGCAAAAAGAAAAAAAUGAGAAAACAAAGUGAAAAAGUAAGAAGAUAAUUCAUUUAAUGUGAAAGAGUGGUGUAUUGUCGCUACUAAAUUACUUCCAUCAUAGUUGUCUAAUACAAGAUCACUGAGGGGUGAGGAGAGAUUCUAUCAAAUGGUAAAGGAUUUAUUUUGCAUGUUUCUGGAGUUAUUACUAUCGUCGUUCAUUAUUGUAAUAGAAUCGGUCCAGUGAAACAUGCGUGGUUUGAAAUUUUCAACAAUAAUGUAGAGAUCGCAAGGAGAGAUAGAGGGAAUUCUAAUAUUGUUGAGUAUGCGUGCUAUGAGACAUUAGAGGGAAUUCUAAUAUUGUUGAGUAUGCGUGCUAUGAGACAUCAUCCAAAAAUGUGGAGAGCAUUAUGUGUCAUGGCUUAGAAAUGCUUAGGAUUGUAGUCAAUUUUCAUACUUAUAUUGGUGGUAUAUACUUAUCACUUGUAUGCUCGCCUCAAACUAAGUAUGUUUCUCGAGGGUUUGGGCCACAGGUGAUAAAAGAGUUUUAAAAUGAGGUGUAGGUGACACAAGUCUUAAUUAUUAGUUGGAGGUGACAAUUAUUUUAUUAUGUAUCAAGAAAGUUGGGGAAGUUUGAAAAUAACCCACAAGUUUUUAAAUUUAUAAUUUGAUCUUAAUGUAUACCUAAAAUAACGGAAAAUGGAGGGGCAAAAAGGCGUUUUUCUCUCUUUUCUCAUCCAUUGUUGUUUUUUCUCUCUUAGCGAUUUUUGUUAUUAAUUGUUUUUGUUUCUGCUGCUUUAUUUAUCAUCUUCUGGUUUAUUAUCAUCAUCUUCUACUUUAUUAUUAUUUCAUCUUCUUCUUGUCGAUCAUUUGUUGUUGUUAUUGUUGGUACAGCGCUACUGCUGCGAUCUUAUCAAUUUCUUAGGUCAAGUUUUGUUUACUACAUCACUUUUCACUUUGGCAUUACUUCAUAGGUGACUUUGAUAAGUAAAAUUAUGAUUUUUAUUCGUAUUUGUUAUCUGGGUGCACUUCUGUUUUUCCAACAAUAGAUAGAACCUCGAUUAUGAAUUCAGCAUAAGUGCCCACAAUUUAAAGAGAUUAAUCAUCUGGUACAUCAGAUGAAUAAUCUGUUGCAUCAUCGUAUUAUCUGCUGCAUCAGACAUAUUAUCUGUUGUAUCUGGAUGUUUAUCUGUUGCAACGAAUGAUUAAUCUGUUUGAAACAACACGAAUCAACCCCUGUCACAAAUCCAACAGAUAAAUCUUGCUAUUGCUACUGGAUUUUAAAUUAUUCCUUUUUACGUCGAAUCGUCGACAUGUUGUUGAGAAGAUAAUAAACAGAAUCAAAAUUAAAUAUGAAUUAAAACGUCAAAGAUCAAACAUAAUUUAUUUAUUAAACAAAUAAAAAUACAUAUAAUGGACUAAAAGAAAAAUAAUAGUCUAAUUAUUAUUAUUAUUAUCAGCAUCAUCAUUGCUAGUCGGUUAAUCUUCAACUGGAAGUAGCAAGGCUCUCCUCAACCUGCGUAUCUCGUGGAGCAUUCUUGAUCUAACUUCUCCCAGUUCCCAUUGCAGAUCACGAACUUGAUUUUGAAGUUCAUUCAUGGUAUCUUGCAGAAAAGCAAUGUCCCACAUUGGGUCAGCCAUAAUCUUAUCUUCUAGAGUGUAAUAUGAAAGACGAGAUGCAAUGAAUAAAUAGAGUAUUUGAAUGAACGAUUGAGUAAGGACAGACCUAUUUAUAGAGGAUUGAAUUUGAAUGAGAGGCAAAAAAAUGCGACUAUUUACUUCCAUACAUUAAUUACAUUUUUUAUUAAAUUAAGAAAAUAAAUAUUGUGAUAUAAGUCAUGACUUUUCAGAUUAUUAUUAUUAAUUAGUUCUUUUGAAGAACCGUUUUUAUUGAGUUGUGACAACAGAUUCUAUAUCUGUUGCAUCAGAUAACAUAUCUGUGACAACAAAUAUAUUAUUUGUUGCAUCAAAUAACAUAUCUGUUGCAACAUAUAAUCUAUCUGUUCACCUUCAUUUAUUAAUUACAUUUUUUAUUAAUGUGAAAAGUAAUGAAUUAAUUAAAUUAAGAAAUAUUGUGAUAAGUCAUGACUUUUCAGAUUAUUAUUAUUAAUUAGUUCUUUUCAAGAACUGCUUUUAUUGAGUUGUGACUCGAUAUAGGUUGCAUCAGAUAAAUCAUCUGUGACAAUAGAUAUAUCAUCUGUUGCAAUCAUAGUGAACCUGUUGCAUCAGAUAAUUUAAUUGUUGCAAUAUAUAAUCCAUUUUUUUAAAAAAAAAUAACUAUAUCAUCAUAUCAUUAAUUCAAAUUUGCUUACUUUUUUAUUUUAUAAAUUAAAAAAAUACCUUUUCAAAUUUCGUAACAAAAUAAUAACCAUUUUAUUAUAUAAUAAAUAAUUUAAAAAAUAAAUUCAAAAACAAAAAUGGUAAAAAGUCACGAUCAGUUAUUAAAAUUGUGUUUAUUAUUUAUUUAUGAAACAUUUUUCGUAUUGAAUAAUCGGAACGGAAAGUCAUGUCUUUUUCUUUUCAUCCUCUCAAUAACAACAAUAGUCCUUUUUUAUUAAUAACCGUCAGGUAAAACAUAUGAUCGAUCUGUCGUAGUAGAUUAACUUCUAAUUGUUGACAUAAAUUGCUGCUCAAUUUCUACCACCAACCGUCGACAUGUUGAGAACAAGGAAUAAGCAGAAUGAUUAUUAUUAAAUACUAAAUAAGAAUUAAAAAUUUAAAGUCGACAACAAAAUGAAAUGAAUGUUCAUAGAUUUUUGAAUCCCUUGGGUAGAUUUGAUAUACAAAAGUAGGAAAAUAAUCGCUAAAAUAAAAAAUAUUACCCAAUUAUUAUUACUAUUAUUAUUAUUAUUGUCAAUCAGACAUCUUUCAUCCGGCAGCCUUGCUCCGAAGUCAGUCAAAUCUCUUUGGAGUUCAUCAAACUGUAUUUGAAGUUCACGCAAGGACUUGAUAUGAAUAUUCUUGUACGAAUCUGGAUCAUCCAUAUUUGUAAGGAGGGACCUAUUUAUAAAUUAUUGUAUCUCGGAAAGAAAAGAAAAUUGCUUUAAAAUAAAUCUAACAGAUGGGUAAUCUGUUACAAAAUCUAUUCUUUCUAUUAGAUAACUUACAACAUACUUGCAAUCUUUUGACAAUAUAAACAGAUGUGUCAUCUGUUGCAACAAGUUAGUCAUCUGUUUAUUCAAUUUAAGCCAUAGAUGGGCUAGGAAGA
rnacentral:lncRNA from 1 species